UGCAUGUAUUAAAGGCAUUGACCUGUAUACUUUAAGUAGGUGGCUUUUGUUGCACGUGAAUUGUAUUUCAAUAAAGAGGUUGAGGAAAAGAAGCAGCAAAGGUGAAUUUUGGAGCAAUGCAUAGGGCUGUCAAAGCCAGAUGCUGUCCUGCCUGCAUAUUGUGAAUGUUUUCAAGUCUCUUAUGCACUUUUCAUUCCUGUCAUUCGUCUGGUGGGACAAAGGCCCACUGUGUACCAUCAUUCAUGAAGAGAUCUUUGCAAUGGUGGUGACUUAAGGAAUGUUCCUUUUAUUAAUUUAAUUUAAUUUAAUUUAAUUCUAUUUUUUUUUGCUAUUAGAGAUGUCAAGCCAGGGCAAUAACGCUCUCUUUCCACGCUGCCACCAACCUUUGUUAUCCACACACUUCCUCCCGGAAUCUCUGUUCCCACCGUGCCGGGCUGCCCACUGCCCCACGUUAACUCUCUGUGCCUUUCGUUCCAGAGGUUCCCCUUGUUCCCUCAUACGCCUUCUCUCAGCCCUGACUGCUUUCUGCUCACGGCCGUCAUCAAAACCUGGCUCUUCUGACUCCGUCUCUGUGUGCAUGGCUGGACUUUCUGCGCUCUUUUGUAAUGUAUUUAUUUACCUACCUGAGCCUCUGCCGGCCUGGGAACCUUCUGAGGCUGGAUACAGUGUCUUUUCGAUUUCUGAUUUCCUAUUGCCCGGUUUGGCAGGUGGAAGGUGUAAAAGAUCUGUUAAUUGAACCUAAUUGCCAAGACUCCGAAGAGCAGUGCUCUGAGUGCCUCUGCUGAGUUAUUUUCCUUAGUGCUAGCUGCAAAAACCGGAAUGACUGGGCCAAAAGGCAGAGGCACCAAAACCUAUCGAUAGGACAAGAAGGAUUCCUUGGCUGCUCUGUUGUUUGCUACUCCCCGCUCUAGAAAUGCACAGCUCAGUUGCUCUAACAAGAUGGGAUAAAAUGAAACCCAGGAGUAGGCCAAUGCUUCGUUAGCUCAGCUAAUCAACCUUACCACCAGGCACCUGGUCUUUGUAUCUGCUGCUCCAUCCUUUAUGUGCCAGUUUUCAUCCUUGACUCCUCAUGAUUUCAAGAUGGCUAUAACUCCAUCAUUUCCAAUCCAAGGCACCAAGAGGGGAGUGGGAGAAAGGCAUAUAUAUA